rnacentral:tRNA from 2 species
CCUUCGAUAGCUCAGUUGGUAGAGCGGUGGACUGUAGAUUUGAGUAAUAUUAAUAGUAAUCCAUAGGUCGCUGGUUCAAAUCCGGCUCGAAGGA